rnacentral:rRNA from 1 species
GACGAACGCUGGCGGCGUGCCUAACACAUGCAAGUCGAACGAAGCUUGAUUUCUGAUUUUUUCGGAAUGACGAAUGAUAUGACUGAGUGGCGGACGGGUGAGUAACGCGUGAGCAACCUGCCCUUCGGAACGGGAUAGUGUCUGGAAACGGACAGUAAUACCGUAUAAUAUAUAUUGAUCGCAUGGUUGAUAUAUCAAAACUGAGGUGCCGAAGGAUGGGCUCGCGUCUGAUUAGAUAGUUGGUGGGGUAACGGCCUACCAAGUCGACGAUCAGUAGCCGGACUGAGAGGUUGAACGGCCACAUUGGGACUGAGACACGGCCCAGACUCCUACGGGAGGCAGCAGUGGGGAAUAUUGCACAAUGGGGGAAACCCUGAUGCAGCAACGCCGCGUGAAGGAAGACGGUUUUCGGAUUGUAAACUUCUGUUCUUAGUGAAGAAUAAUGACGGUAGCUAAGGAGCAAG